ACGUUCGAAAAAAUAGGAUGACAAGGCCAUUUCGCAACUUGUUUUGGGGGACAAAAUUUAAAGAGAUUAUUCCUUUCUUGUCAACAAGACAAUUCAUUAAAAUAGGCAACAAGUGGGUAGCUAAACAACCUUUGUUCCAACGUCCCUGUUCGGCCUACCUUUGUAUACGCCUCCAUAAAGAGUGACCUACAUAACUAAUUGGAUUUUGGUAAUAAAUUUCACCCAGGUAGUUAAAUAAAACAGAAGAUUAGGGCGGCAGUACAAUCCGUACAAUCGGAAGGAUAGGACUCAGGGAGUCAAAUUUGUGUCAAAUGCAAUAAACUAUUGAGGAAGUAAUCUAUAACUCACUUCCUCUAGCCUUAACAACGUGAAUUGGCUGACGCUGUUCUGAAAAUGAAUGUUAUGUAGUGACAUUUUAAACGCACAACGGAAGCAAAGUGCAUUCAGAGCAAUGAUUUGAACAAGGGGGUGAGCCACACAACAUACAAAUAGAUAAAGGCAAAAACUUACUCAGAAACCAGAAGCCAAUUUGAAAAUGUGCGAACGGGAGAGAAGCUGAAAUGUGAAAGGAUGAAACCUGCAAAAAGCUACACAAACUAGGAGUCUUAGGUAGUGGAAUUUCAUCAAAGGACGAAACAAGGUGGUGACUAAUAUAUCAGAGCGAGUCAGGCAAUGGAGGCUAAGGGUUGCAAUUUGUGAAAUUCAGCUUACCAUCUUCUUGAGACUUGU